rnacentral:rRNA from 1 species
UACGUAGGUGGCAAGCGUUGUCCGGAAUUACUGGGCGUAAAGCGUGCGCAGGCGGUUUUGUAAGGCAGAUGUGAAAGCCCCGGGCUUAACCUGGGAAUUGCGCUUGAAACUAGCGGGCUUGAGUGCGGCAGAGGGGGGUGGAAUUCCACGUGUAGCAGUGAAAUGCGUAGAGAUGUGGAGGAACACCGAUGGCGAAGGCAGCCCCCUGGGUCGACACUGACGCUCAGGCACGAAAGCGUGGGGAGCAAACAGG